AAAAAAAAAAAAAAAAGAAAAGAAAAAAACAGAAACGCAACAUGCUCUAAAAAGGAAUAUUUAACCUGGAUUAAUUCAUAAAAUAAUAGGAGAAAAUUUUUGCAGCCAGAAUACUAUGAAUUUGAGUUGUUUGAAAACAACCUCAUCUUUUAAAGCAGAGAAGUUUUCUCGGAUAUGUUUUCCAGAAUGCCAAAUCGUAAGUAAAUUAUGCGAAAACUGUGGCUCAAAAGUUAUGUUGCUUGUUAGACAUCAGCAGACAUUUAAGUGGUAAGCACAAGAUGUGAACACAACUCUUCUCUAUUAAACCUAUUAGACCUGCACAGCCCAAUAUGACAGCCACUAACCACAAGUGGCUGCACACACUUGAUAUAUGACUAAUUUGAAACAAGAAGUGUUUUAAGUGAAAAAUAGAGAUGAGAUUUUGAAAACUUGAGAUGAAUUAAAGGAUGUAAACUAUCUCAAUAAUUUGUAUAUUGUUUGCAUAUUGAAAUGAUAAUAUUUUGGAUGUACUAGGUAAAAGAAAAUAAUUAUUCAAAUUUUUGUCUCCUGCUUCUUUUUUAUUU
rnacentral:lncRNA from 1 species